rnacentral:lncRNA from 1 species
GUUUGAGAAUGCUUAAGCUUAAAAUCUUUAGAUUUUAAUACAAUGUAGGUGCCCACUAUAUACUGCUUUGGGAUGAUUUUGGCAAUCAUUGGAACUGCUAUGUUGCCAUGGAUACUACACCAAAAAUUUCCAAAAUAUGGAAAUGCUCCAAAUUUUAUAAAACUUCACAGUAACGAUGAGCAACAUUGGUAGAUGUGGAAUU